UGCGCAUUGCAUGUGUUGAUGUUAGUGAAGGAGUGAGGCAUUGUGGGAGCUGUGGCAGCGUUUGUUGUGAUCAUGUUAUGAUGAUAACUCUCGUCUGCCUUCUCUCCCUUCAUCACUGAGGACGUUAUCUCUGAUAACUAGGCAUGAGUCACCUGGAGAAUGGCUCUGUGGUGUGGGUGCGGCUGGGGCAAGCAUGGUGGCCAGGAACCAUCACCACCGUUGCCAAAUGCCCACCCGAGUAUAUCCAGGGACUCCGCAAGAUGCCUCUAGCCAUUGUUAAAUUUUUCCAUGAAAAUGAAUUUCAAGAUGUUCACAAAUCAGAGCACAUAUUCCCCAUAUAACUGUGAGCGCAAAGAAGAAUUCAUCAGGAGAGGACAAUGUAUCAACAGAAACCCAGAGUCAUGGAGA